rnacentral:rRNA from 1 species
GCAUAUCAAUAAGCGGAGGAAAAGAAACCAACAGGGAUUGCCCCAGUAACGGCGAGUGAAGCGGCAACAGCUCAAAUUUGAAAUCUGGCCCCUAGGGUCCGAGUUGUAAUUUGUAGAGGAUGCUUUUGGUGAGGUGCCGCCCGAGUUCCCUGGAACGGGACGCCGCAGAGGGUGAGAGCCCCGUCUGGCUGGCCACCGAGCCUCUGUAAAGCUCCUUCGACGAGUCGAGUAGUUUGGGAAUGCUGCUCAAAAUGGGAGGUAUAUGUCUUCUAAAGCUAAAUAUUGGCCAGAGACCGAUAGCGCACAAGUAGAGUGAUCGAAAGAUGAAAAGCACCUUGAAAAGAGGGUUAAACAGUACGUGAAAUUGUUGAAAGGGAAGCGCUUGUGACCAGACUUGGGCGCGGCGGAUCAUCCGGGGUUCUCCCCGGUGCACUUCGCCGCGUUCAGGCCAGCAUCAGUUCGGCGCGGGGGAAAAAGGCUUCGGGAACGUGGCUCCCCCGGGAGUGUUAUAGCCCGUUGCAUAAUACCCUGCGCUGGACUGAGGACCGCGCAUCUGCAAGGAUGCUGGCGUAAUGGUCACCAGCGACCCGU